rnacentral:rRNA from 1 species
AUUGAACGCUGGCGGCAGGCCUAACACAUGCAAGUCGAGCGGAUAAAGGGAGCUUGCUCCUGGAUUCAGCGGCGGACGGGUGAGUAAUGCCUAGGAAUCUGCCUGGUAGUGGGGGAUAACGUUUCGAAAGGGACGCUAAUACCGCAUACGUCCUACGGGAGAAAGCAGGGGACCUUCGGGCCUUGCGCUAUCAGAUGAGCCUAGGUCGGAUUAGCUAGUAGGUGGGGUAAUGGCUCACCUAGGCGACGAUCCGUAACUGGUCUGAGAGGAUGGUCAGUCACACUGGAACUUAGACACGGUCCAGAAUCCUACGGGAGGUAGCAGUGGGGAAUAUUGGACAAUGGGCGAAAGCCUGAUCCAGCCAUGCCGCGUGUGUGAGGAAGGUCUUCGGAUUGUAAAGCACUUUAAGUUGGGAGGAAGGGCAGUAAGUUAAUACCUUGCUGUUUUGACGUUACCGACAGAAUAAGCACCGGCUAACUUCGUGCCAGCCGCCGCAGUAA